rnacentral:rRNA from 1 species
UACGAAGGGUGCAAGCGUUAAUCGGAAUUACUGGGCGUAAAGAGUGUGUAGGCGGUGCUCUAAGUUCGGUGUGAAAUCUCCCGCUUAACUGGGAGGGUGCGCCGGAAACUGGAGUGCUCGAACGGUGGGAGAGGAAAGCGGAAUUCCUGGUGUAGCGGUGAAAUGCGUAGAUAUCAGGAGGAACACCUGGCGGUGUAGACGGCUUUCUGGACCAUUGUUGACGCUGAGACACGGAAAGCGUGGGUAGCAAACAGG